AACGUCCUUUAGCGCUGGGCCGCCGGCAGCCGCGGGCGCAUCUUUGCAUUUCCCUGGAGGAGUUCCCUCAUCUGUUAAAGGAGGGAGUUGAGGCGGACACGCUGGGAAAUGGCUUCGAGCUCACACACUAAUUUUCGGUCCCGCUCCGUCGCCCAGGCUGGAGUGCAGUGGAGCCAUCACUGCUCACUGCAGCCUCCCACCUCCGACUCCAGAGAUCCUCUCGCCUCAACUUCCAGAGUAGCUGGGACCACAGGCGCAUGCCACCACGCCUGGCUAAUUUUUAGGGUUUUUUUUUUUUUUUGGGUAGAGAUGGGGCCUCCCUGUGUUGCCUAGGCUAGCCUUGAACUCCUGGGCUCAAGCCGUCUUCCAGCUUCGGCCUCCCAAAGUGCCGGCAUUACAGGCAUGAGUCACCCCGCCUGGCAGUUGUUUUUAAACUAACUGAGGUUCUCCCAUCAAUGGAUUUAAAUUGUUACUUUUUAAUGAUUUUUUUAAGUAGCCAAAUACUAAAUGUAUGUAAUUUGUGGAGAGAAGAUAAUGCAUGAUUCAAAUUAUGUGGCUGAUCAUGAGUGAUACACUGGGAUAUAGUUGUAAAAUAAGUAGUUCCCCUAGGGAAAAUAUUAAAGUACAACUGUGUUGGGUUUAAUAUCAGAAAAUAUGUAAUUAAAAAUAUUUCCCCCCAACGACUUCCAAUCUGAUACUUUAAAAAAAAAAAAAA